GCGGUGGAGCAUGUGGCUUAAUUCGAGGCAACGCGAAGAACCUUACCUGGGUUUGACAUAUAGGUUGUAGGGAACUGAAAAGGGACCGACCCUUCGGGGAGCCUAUACAGGUGUUGCAUGGCUGUCGUCAGCUCGUGUCGUGAGAUGUUCGGUUAAGUCCGCUAACGAGCGCAACCCUCGUCGUAUGUUAUAUGUGUCAUACGAGACUGCCGGUAAAAGCCGGAGGAAGGUGAGGAUGAUGUCAAGUCAGCAUGACCUUUAUAUCCAGGGCUACACACACGCUACAAUGGUCUGUACAAUGGGUAGCCAAGCCGCGAGGCGGAGCCAAUCCUGAAAGCAGGCCUCAGUUCAGAUUGCAGUCUGCAACUCGACUGCAUGAAGCCGGAGUUGCUAGUAACCGCAGGUCAGCAAUACUGCGGUGAAUACGUUCCCGGGUCUU
rnacentral:rRNA from 1 species